UACGUAGGUGGCAAGCGUUGUCCGUGAUUUACUGGGCGUAAAGAGCGCGCAGGCGGUCGUAUAAGUCGAAUGUGAAAGCCCCCCGGCUCAACUGGGGAGGGUCAUUCGAUACUGUUCGACUCGAAGGCAGGAGAGGGAAGUGGAAUUCCGGGUGUAGUGGUGAAAUGCGUAGAUAUCCGGAGGAACACCAGUGGCGAAGGCGGCUCACUGGACCACAACUGACGCUGAGGCGCGAAAGCGUGGGGAGCAAACAGG
rnacentral:rRNA from 1 species